UACGGAGGGUGCAAGCAUUGAUCGGAAUUACUGGGCGUAAAGGGCGCGUAGGCUGUACGUUAAGUCGGACGUGAAAUUCUGGGGCUCAACCCCAGAGCUGCGUUUGAAACUGGCGAACUAGAGUUCAGUUAGGGUAAACGGAAUUCCACGUGUAGCGGUGAAAUGCGUAGAUAUGUGGAAGAACACCGGUGGUGAAGACGGUUUACUGGGCUGAAACUGACGCUGAGGCGCGAAAGCAUGGGGAGCAAACAGG
rnacentral:rRNA from 1 species